UUGUGCUAUAGCAGACUAUGAAGUGAUUAUGCAUAUAUAGUACAUAAAAUGGACAUUAGAUUACUCAAGCUGGCCUUGUUAGCCAGGCUUGUCUUCAGUGUCUUGGUUAGCCAAGAUCCUGACUCAUAUGAUAACAAUUUCUAGGCAAGGCAGGCUAGCCUGCAUGGCUUAUGUAAACAGGGCCUAAGAUGAUACAUUUUAACAUCAUAUGGUAGGCAUGUGAAUAUCAUACUGGCAGAUAAUUGAAUGAAAGCCUUUUUCCAUUGUUGUGUAUUUCUACCAUUUAUUUGUAGUGUUAGCACUUGUUUCUGACUUUCUGUUUAUUGGGUUUUAUUGAUGUAUCUUGAAAAGCCAGUCAUGUAUAUAUUAAUAUGAAAUUGUAUGAAAUGUAUAUAAUGAAUGAUUAGGGACCACUGGUCAUUAAUAAUGGGCGGGGCAGUGGCGUAACGGAGGAAGAAGGGCCCUUAGGCAUUUUGGUGUGGGGGCCCUGUUGACUGUUAUUGUUUGACUGAGAUCUAAAAUUUAAAUUGAAUAUUUAUCAGUAGAAUAUGGAAAAUUCUGUGUCUAUAACAAUGAUAAUAACAGUCUCCAACACAUGUAACAACUUUUAAGAAUAACUUUUGUUCUAUUUGAGAUGGAAUACCGUCGUCGAUGGAGGGUUUAUUAUUUAGCAUUAUUAAUUUUGUAUUUUUC